GGGGGGGAGCAUUUCUUCAUUUUCAUAUAAUUCCUAAUAAAUCCAUCCAAUUAACGCACGAGACGACCGUAGACCAUUGUUAUAAAUGAGCCGCAUUGCGAGGAAGCGACGUGAGACACGGGAAGUUGCUUCUUUACAGCACGUGGGGUUUUUAUCGCGAGUGGAACUGCCCGGCAGGAAGUAAAGCGCAGAUCCCAGGAAGGUUCGUUCCAUUCUACACGCGGCUCAGAGCGGAGAGGUCACGUGAGUAGCGCGGGGAGGAGGAGAGAAUGAGUCGCUUGAUGUACAGAGAGAUCUCUGCUUAUUAUUAUAAUAAUUAUAUCAGGCGCUGAUGUUCCAGCUGCAGUGAUGGCGUCUGCACAGAAUAUUCCAAUGAGCCCCCAGGUGACAGUUGCACUAGUUCUAGGUGUCGUUACUGGACCCCAGUCACAUAUGCUGUCUGUCCCACCUUGGAACUUUCUCUGCUCAGAUGCAGCGCCGGCUCCUGGAUGAGGCGCUGAUGUUCCAGCUGCAGUGAUGGUGUCUGCACAGAAUAUUCCAAUGAGCCCCCAGGUGACAGUUGCACUAGGUGGGUAAUUUGGAGUUUUCCUUCUGUCCAUCUCCCCUGUGAGGCCCUGAUCGAAGCCGGGCUGUCCUGCACCUUGGGAUGCUUCUCCAAUCAGAUGGAACUGCCAUGUCAUGUGACUUCUCCCAAACUGCCAUCCUCCAGGGGCAGAUUCCUACUGCAAGAAAGGAAAAACUGAAUUGGAAACCAGCCGGCCCAAUAGGAACACUCUCAGCUGGAAUCUUUCAGCUAUGGCAGCCGACGUUGGUGCUCAGAGAGAAGAUGGGAAGAAAUCCACAGGCAGCAAUACAAUCCAUCACAUGGAGAAGGACCUGAUUCUUUAUAAAACGAAUGUGAUUUCUUGUCUGUGACAAAUAAAAUAACCUGGGUGCCCUGUCUAGAUUGUAAGCUCUGUGGGGCAGUAAGUGAAUCAAUGCAAAGAGCUGUUGCUAUAAAUGAUGCACUGCUGGUUUCUCAAGAACAAUAAAGUGUAAUAAAAGUGUAAA